UGAGUAACACGUAUGCAACCAACCCAUAACAGGGGGAUAACCCGGAGAAAUCCGGACUAAUACGCAUAAGACCACGAUAUCGCAUGAUAUAGAGGUCAAAUAUUUAUAGGUUAUGGACGGGCAUGCGUCUGAUUAGCUGGUUGGCGGGGUAACGGCCCACCAAGGCAUCGAUCAGUAGGGGUUCUGAGAGGAAGGUCCCCCACAUUGGAACUGAGACACGGUCCAAACUCCUACGGGAGGCAGCAGUGAGGAAUAUUGGUCAAUGGGCGAAAGCCUGAACCAGCCAUGUCGCGUGAAGGAUUAGAAGGUCCUAUGGAUUGUAAACUUCUUUUGCAGGAGGGUAAAGUGAGCUACGUGUAGUUCAUUGCAAGUACCCUGCGAAUAAGCAUCGGCUAACUCCGUGCCAGCAGCAGC
rnacentral:rRNA from 1 species